UUUUAUUUUUUUCGUUUUUCCCGAUCUGAACUCCUCCUUCACUGAAGAGUCUGAAGAAGAGAACAAGAACAAGUGAACAACAUGCACCAUAGAUCGUGAAAUUUCUUUGUUCAUACGUAUCAAUUUUCACCCCCCACAGAUUCAAGUAAACAAAGAUUCUUAAUAAGCUUAACGAAUAAGGUGACGCACUGACGCAGUGACGCUGAUGCUGUUGUUUGAGUUCUGAAAGAAGUAGAAAAGGCCUUGUAGGCCUUUGAGGUGCUAAAUGGGGAAGCGCAAAGCACCAGAUGAUUCCAAUGAUGCUGAUGGCAUUGCUCCUGUUA